rnacentral:rRNA from 1 species
AUGAAGACCUUCUUCCUCCUAGCUUUCCUUGCUCUGGUAGUGAGCACUACUAUUGCGCAAUAUGCGGAAGUUCCCAGCCCAGCUAUGCAAGCUCCCACCGCGGAUGUUUUUGGGGAAUGGGUUGCGAUAGCGCCUAGUGCGAGUGGUUUUGAGGAUUGCGAGGAAGAGCAUCCAAAGCUAGAUUCUUGUAGUGAUUAUGUUAUGGAUCGGUGUGUGAUGAAGGAUAUGCCGCUCUCUUGGAUCUUUCCUCGGACUUGGGGGAAGAGAAGUUGUGAGGAGGUCCGAAACCAGUGUUGUCAGCAAUUGAGACAAACGACGCCGCGUUGCCGCUGCAAGGCUAUUUGGACAUCAAUCCAAGGUGAUCUAAGUGGCUUCAAGGGCGUUCAACAAGGUUUGAAAGCCAGAACGGUGCAGACGGCGAAGAGCCUUCCCUCCAAGUGCAACAUUGAUCCAAAAUACUGCAACAUCCCCAUCACUAGCGGAUAUUACUGGUGA